AUGAAAACUUGCAUUGCCUCAUGUAAUGUUUUACAUUUGAACUCUAUAUCAGUAUCUGAUAGCGAGCCUCCCUCAGGAAGUCCACGGGAAGCCACGCUUGUGGAGUUGGGUUUCUUGGGAGCAGUGGAUGCUCCGGUUCCAGACCCACCCCCAGGUGUCCCCGCACCUGGUGUCCCACCUCUGUCCACCGGGCCUAUAGUGGACCUGGUGCAGUACAGCCAGAAGUACCUGGACGCGGCGGUAAAGGCGGCACAGGAGGAGAACCAGAAGCUGAGGAGCUCCAGAGGAAGAACCUGGAGCUGGGGGUGAUCAUGGACCGGUUCGAGGAGGUCACAUUCCAGGUCAUGGAGGAGGUUCAGAAACAGAAGGAACUUGCCAAAGCCGACAUCCAGAAAGUUCUAAACGAAAAAGACCAGCUGACUGCAGAUCUGAACUCCAUGGAGAAGUCCUUCUCUGACCUCUUCAAACGCUUUGAGAAACAGAAGGAGGUGAUUGAGGGCUACCGCAAGAAUGAAGAGUCACUAAAGAAGUGUGCAGAGGAUUACCUGGCGAGGGUCACCCAGGCAGGCCAGAGGUACCAGGCCCUGAAGGCCCACGCCGAGGAGAAGCUGCAGCUGGCAAACGAAGAGAUCGCCCAGGUCCGGAGCAAGGCCCAGGCGGAAGCAUUGGCCCUCCAGGCCAGCCUGAGGAAGGAGCAGAUGUGGGUCCAGUCGCUGGAGAGGACUGUGGAGGAGAAGACUAAAGAGAAUGAGGAGCUGACCAGGAUCUGUGACGACCUCAUCUCCAAGAUGGCGAAGAUCUGACCCAGAGCGGCAGCCCCUCCUGUCUGUCCCUCUAUCCAGCUGUACU